CCUUGAGGGGCAUAUUGCAUUUCCAGGAGGACGGCUUAGAAACCAUAUAAAAGUUCUCCCAACCAAGGGUACCUCAUCCAUUCAGCUUCACUCCUACCACACGUGGUCCUGUUGGCAUUCAGGGUUCCCUGCACUACAGAAAAGAUGUGUUCCCGUGAGAACAGAGACUGCCACGACAGGGAGAGCUCCUCCUGCCACGACAGUGGAAGGUCAUCUUGCCACGGCUCUGGGGAUGUCAUCUGCCAUGAGGUGACACCACUGCCUGACAUCCAGCCCAUGCCACCUAUGCCGAUGCCGACGCCGAUGCCAGCUCCGGCCCCCAUCCCCUGCCAGCAGCAGCAGACCAAGCAGCCUAUCCACUGGCCACCACAGCAGCAGCACCAAAAGUGAAGGGGUACCGGCCAGCAAACAGCAGCGCAUCCCAGAAUGCAAUGGGGCUGAUCCGGCAUUGCAAUCCCUGGAUGGUGCCUGGAGCUCGGAAAGCUUUGCAUGCCUCGUUAUCUUCCCAAACUGCCUGCUCCAAUCAGUGCUGCAGCAAACUGCUAUGUUAGCAACACCUGUAGGAAAUGUGAUUUGUUCUUUCAUGCUCACCUCAUUGAAUCUACUGAUUAAAUGAUCCACUGAUGCUUCUGUAUCUGAUGCUAAAAUUGAGGCAUUAAAACUUACCAUACACACAA